AACGUAGGGGGCGAGCGUUAUCCGGAAUCACUGGGCGUAAAGGGCGUCUAGGCGGUCCAGUAAGUCCUGCGUGAAAGCUCCCGGCUCAACUGGGAGAGCGCGUGGGAGACUGUUGGGCUAGAGACUCGGAGAGGGGUGUGGAAUUCCCGGUGGAGUGGUGAAAUGCGUAGAUAUUGGGAGGAACACCAGUGGCGAAGGCGGCUCACUGGACCUCUUCUGACGCUGAGGCACGAAAGCUAGGGUAGCGAACGGG
rnacentral:rRNA from 1 species